AACGAACGGUGGCGGCGUGCUUAACACAUGCAAGUCGACCGAGAAAGAGUUCCUUCGGGAACUUGAGUAGAGUGGCGCACGGGUGAGUAACGCGUAGAUAAUCUACCCUUAUAUAUGGAAUAACUGGGCGAAAGCUCAGCUAAUACCGUAUACGCUUUUCUGUUCGCGAGGGCAGGGGAGGAAAGGUGGCCUCUGAUUCAAGCUAUCGUAUAAGGAUGAGUCUGCGUACCAUUAGCUAGUAGGUGGGGUAAUGGCCCACCUAGGCGACGAUGGUUAGCGGGUCUGAGAGGAUGAUCCGCCACACUGGAACUGGAACACGGACCAGACUCCUACGGGAGGCAGCAGUGAGGAAUUUUGCGCAAUGGGGGUAACCCUGACGCAGCGACGCCGCGUGGGUGAUGAAGGCUUUCGGGUCGUAAAGCACUGUCAAGUGGGAAGAACCGUUAAUAUGCUAAUACCAUGUUAACCUGACGGUACCACUAAAGGAAGCACCGGCUAACUCCCGUGCCAGCAGCCGCGGUAAUACGGAGGGUGCAAGCGUUGUUCGGAAUUACUGGGCGUAAAGGGCGCGUAGGCGGCGCUGUAAGUCCGGAUGUGAAAGUCCACGGCUUAACCCGUGGAA
rnacentral:rRNA from 1 species